rnacentral:rRNA from 1 species
AUUGAACGCUGGCGGCAGGCCUAACACAUGCAAGUCGAACGGUAACAGAAAGCAGCUUGCUGCUUUGCUGACGAGUGGCGGACGGGUGAGUAAUGUCUGGGAAACUGCCUGAUGGAGGGGGAUAACUACUGGAAACGGUAGCUAAUACCGCAUAACGUCGCGAGACCAAAGAGGGGGACCUUCGGGCCUCUUGCCAUCGGAUGUGCCCAGAUGGGAUUAGCUAGUAGGUGGGGUAACGGCUCACCUAGGCGACGAUCCCUAGCUGGUCUGAGAGGAUGACCAGCCACACUGGAACUGAGGCACGGUCCAGACUCCUACGGGAGGCAGCAGUGGGGAAUAUUGCACAAUGGGCGCAAGCCUGAUGCAGCCAUGCCGCGUGUAUGAAGAAGGCCUUCGGGUUGUAAAGUACUUUCAGCGGGGAGGGAGGGAGUAAAGUUAAUACCUUUGCUCAUUGACGUUACCCGCAGAAGAAGCACCGGCUAACUCCGUGCCAGCAGCCGCGGUAA